GGUGAAGUCUUUUGGUCAGGGGCAGUGGAGGCAGUCAGUUCCCCUUGAGACGAGACUGCCUGAGUAGGGGUGAAUGACCCACUACUAGCCGUCAGCGGCUGGAAAUAAGGAGGAUACUGGUAGUGUUGAGGCCCAUACAUCUGGCCAUCAUUCACCAAUGUUGGAACUGGGGAAGUUGCAGGUGAAUAUGGGCCAUACGGUGCAUAUCCAUAA
rnacentral:misc_RNA from 1 species